rnacentral:rRNA from 1 species
CAGUAGCCGCGGUAACACGGAGGGGGCUAGCGUUGUUCGGAAUUACUGGGCGUAAAGCGCACGUAGGCGGCUUGGUAAGUUAGAGGUGAAAGCCCGGAGCUCAACUCCGGAAUUGCCUUUAAGACUGCCGAGCUAGCAGGUGAGAGAGGUAAGUGGAAUUCCGAGUGUAGAGGUGAAAUUCGUAGAUAUUCGGAAGAACACCAGUGGCGAAGGCGGCUUACUGGCUCAUACUGGACGCUGAGGUGCGAAAGCGUGGGGAGCAAACAGGAUUAGAUACCCCAGUAGUCCCUGUCUCUUAUAC